AGCUUUGCACAGUGGCAGUAUCGUAGCCAAUGAGGUUUAUCCGAGGUGCGAUUAUUGCUAAUUGAAAACUUUUCCUAAAACAAAUUGGUUUGAAUAAUACUCACCAGAAAAAGCUGUCAAGAAUCAGUACGCUGUAAAAGACUUCAUAACAUUAAAGCUUUGUUAUUAAAGUUUUUGGGAAACUUACCCUAACUAGCAUAAUACCAACCUGUAUGU
rnacentral:snRNA from 1 species